UACGUAGGGGGCUAGCAUUGUCCGGAAUCAUUGGGCGUAAAGAGCGUGUAGGCGGUCCGGUAAGUCCGCUGUGAAAGUCGGGGGCUCAACCCUCGAAUGCCGGUGGAUACUGUCGGGCUAGAGUGCGGAAGAGGCGAGUGGAAUUCCUGGUGUAGCGGUGAAAUGCGCAGAUAUCAGGAGGAACACCUAUUGCGAAGGCAGCUCGCUGGGACGUAACUGACGCUGAGGAGCGAAAGCGUGGGGAGCGAACAGG
rnacentral:rRNA from 1 species